UGGGGAAUAUUGCACAAUGGGCGAAAGCCUGAUGCAGCAACGCCGCGUGAGUGAUGAAGGUCUUCGGAUUGUAAAGCUCUGUCUUUUGGGACGAUAAUGACGGUACCAAAGGAGGAAGCCACGGCUAACUACGUGCCAGCAGCCGCGGUAAUACGUAGGUGGCGAGCGUUGUCCGGAUUUACUGGGCGUAAAGGGUGCGUAGGCGGAUGUUUAAGUGAGAUGUGAAAUACCCGGGCUUAACUUGGGUGCUGCAUUUCAAACUGGAUAUCUAGAGUGCAGGAGAGGAGAAUGGAAUUCCUAGUGUAGCGGUGAAAUGCGUAGAGAUUAGGAAGAACACCAGUGGCGAAGGCGAUUCUCUGGACUGUAACUGACGCUGAGGCACGAAAGCGUGGGUAGCAAACAGGAUUAGAUACCCUGGUAGUCCACGCCGUAAACGAUGAGUACUAGGUGUAGGAGGUAUCGACCCCUUCUGUGCCGCAGUAAAACAC
rnacentral:rRNA from 1 species